ACGCUAGCUACAGGCUUAACACAUGCAAGUCGAGGGGCAUCAGGAAGAAAGCUUGCUUUCUUUGCUGGCGACCGGCGCACGGGUGAGUAACACGUAUCCAACCUGCCCUUUACUCGGGGAUAGCCUUUCGAAAGAAAGAUUAAUACCCGAUAGCAUAAUGAUUCCGCAUGGUUUCAUUAUUAAAGGAUUCCGGUAAAGGAUGGGGAUGCGUUCCAUUAGGUUGUUGGUGAGGUAACGGCCCACCAAGCCUUCGAUGGAUAGGGGUUCUGAGAGGAAGGUCCCCCACAUUGGAACUGAGACACGGUCCAAACUCCUACGGGAGGCAGCAGUGAGGAAUAUUGGUCAAUGGGCGCUAGCCUGAACCAGCCAAGUAGCGUGAAGGAUGAAGGCUCUAUGGGUCGUAAACUUCUUUUAUAUAAGAAUAAAGUGCGGUAUGUAUACUGUUUUGUAUGUAUUAUAUGAAUAAGGAUCGGCUAACUCCGUGCCAGCAGCCGCGGUAAUACGGAGGAUCCGAGCGUUAUCCGGAUUUAUUGGGUUUAAAGGGAGCGUAGGUGGACUGGUAAGUCAGUUGUGAAAGUUUGCGGCUCAACCGUAAAAUUGCAGUUGAUACUGUCAGUCUUGAGUACAGUAGAGGUGGGCGGAAUUCGUGGUGUAGCGGUGAAAUGCUUAGAUAUCACGAAGAACUCCGAUUGCGAAGGCAGCUCACUGGACUGCAACUGACACUGAUGCUCGAAAGUGUGGGUAUCAAACAGGAUUAGAUACCCUGGUAGUCCACACAGUAAACGAUGAAUACUCGCUGUUUGCGAUAUACAGUAAGCGGCCAAGCGAAAGCAUUAAGUAUUCCACCUGGGGAGUACGCCGGCAACGGUGAAACUCAAAGGAAUUGACGGGGGCCCGCACAAGCGGAGGAACAUGUGGUUUAAUUCGAUGAUACGCGAGGAACCUUACCCGGGCUUAAAUUGCAGUGGAAUGAUGUGGAAACAUGUCAGUGAGCAAUCACCGCUGUGAAGGUGCUGCAUGGUUGUCGUCAGCUCGUGCCGUGAGGUGUCGGCUUAAGUGCCAUAACGAGCGCAACCCUUAUCUUUAGUUACUAACAGGUUAUGCUGAGGACUCUAGAGAGACUGCCGUCGUAAGAUGUGAGGAAGGUGGGGAUGACGUCAAAUCAGCACGGCCCUUACGUCCGGGGCUACACACGUGUUACAAUGGGGGGUACAGAAGGCAGCUAGCGGGUGACCGUAUGCUAAUCCCAAAAUCCUCUCUCAGUUCGGAUCGAAGUCUGCAACCCGACUUCGUGAAGCUGGAUUCGCUAGUAAUCGCGCAUCAGCCACGGCGCGGUGAAUACGUUCCCGGGCCUUGUACACACCGCCCGUCAAGCCAUGGGAGCCGGGGGUACCUGAAGUACGUAACCGCAAGGAUCGUCCUAGGGUAAAACUGGUGA
rnacentral:rRNA from 1 species